CACCUGUGGUGGGGAGUGGUCCACCCAUCAAUAGAGAUGGUCCGUUUGAAGCUGAAGCACCAGCGCAUGUGUCAAAAAAAAGACAACACAGUGUUUCAGAAGCACUGCAUCGACUGUAGUCAUAGAAAUCAAUAUUAGACCACCUUUGUUUUUUUCAAUUUCUUCUUGCCUGGCACCACUGAAGCGCGUGGAAGCAGGGACCUGACAGCACAACGACACUCCCAAGAUGCCACCAAAGAGGACUGUGUUGAGGAGCUUCCAGUAAUGAACCCUUUUUCGAUACAAGCUUCAGUGCUUCAGAAGGCUUCAGUUGGUCAUCACUUCCUAUCAGCUCAUCAUCCUGCUCCAUAUGAGCCUGGCUCAGACCAGGACAUGACUGUGGACCAUUGAAUGACUCUCAGGUGGUGUACAUCACCGUAGAGGAUCUGCACAAAGCUGAAAUCAGCUAAGGCUGCUUCUCUCCAUUUACAUGUCCUUGUUCUGAGAAGUUACAGCCCACAGUUACUGACCAUUAGCCAAAGACUAGUAUGGAGUGGUGGGAAGAUCAGUUCUAGGUGUUCUGUUGAGUGUAAGCAGGUGUAGAGGUUUUUGAGUUUAAAUGAAUAAAAUC
ensembl:lncRNA